rnacentral:lncRNA from 1 species
AUGAAAGAAAUUUUUAAGAAGACAGUAGUAUGCCACUUACGAGUGGGGUACAGGGCCAGGGCUAAGGAAAGUCUGGUCCGAGUCUCUGCUCUGACACUUCAUCACCGUGAGAUCUGUGCAAAUGCAGUUAGUUUGUACCUCUUCCAUGCUCAUUUUCCCUUUAAAAUGAAUGUGAAUAGCACAUUGAUCUCAUUGCGUUGUUAUAAGGAUCAAAAAAUGAUAAACCACAUAAAGUUCUUACCACAUUAUCACAAAGCUAUUUAGAAAAAUGCUUUUUUUUUUAAAGAUUUAUUUUAUUUAUUUGAAAGACAGAGUUACAGAGAUAGAGACAGAGAGAGAGGUCUUCCAUCCGCUGGUUCACUCCCUAGAUGGCCACAACAGCCAGAAUUGAGCCAAUCUGAAGUCAGGAGCCAGGAGCUUCUUCCAGGUCUCUCACACGGGUGCAGGGGCCCAAGGACUUGGGCCAUCUUUUACUGCUUUUCCAGGGCACAGCAGAGAGCUGGAUUGGAAGAGGAACAGCUGGGACUAGAACCUGCGCCCAUAAGGGAUGCUGGCGCUUCAGGCCAGAGCUUUAACCCGCUGUGCCACAGUGUCGGCCCCAGAAAAGUGCUUUAUAAUACUAAAAGGACAAUAAUCAGCAACAGUUCUGAUUGUAGGGGUGGAAGAGCAAACAAGCGUAGGUGGCCAAAGUGAAUAUGAAUGAAAGGAGAGGAGACAUGGAUGGCAGGUUUUGAACUUGGGUUACAGGAAGUGAAACCAUAGAACCAGGAAAGGCAGGGGCGGCAGCUUUACCAGUCUUUGAACUGCCUUCUGGAUCAUCUUCUCCCUUUCUUCCAGAUUAAAACCAGUUCAAAGCCAAAACUCGAUUGGCUUGUUUCCUGCCUGUAGAGCCUCAACUUCCUUCACUUGAUCCAUUUCUCUACCCUUCAGUCUAAGCUGAACUGUUUCUGCUGAGGUGGUUGAUUGGAUCCAUGAGUCAUGGCCUAAUCUCAUUAGCAAACUAAGUAUUGUUCGGCCACCCUCUUGGAGUUUUCUCCACAGCAUGCUCUCUCUCUCUCUCUCUCUCUCUCUCUCUGUAAUAUGGAUAGGCUGAGUAUUUUCCAAAUCUGCAAGUUUUGGUUCCUUCUUAUUCUUUUUUUCUUGCAUUUUACCAUAAGUAGCAAGAACAAAAAAGGGUGUACCUUCAACACAUUGCUUAGAAAUCCCUUCAACUAAAUAUUGAAGUUCAUCACUUCUAAGUUCUACUUUCCCUCCAACACAAUAC